CUGGAGACUCCGACAUGGAUAGAAGGCUUUGAGGCUAGAUUCGACAGGAUAUGCCUGAAGUUUUGGCUCGGAUGGGAUUCAGAUCUCCUGAGCGCAUCAUGCAAGCAACUUACCUGAUUCCAGAGCCAGUUCCAGCUCACUGUUCCUCUUCUUGGACGGGGGACUUCAAAGAACAGGCUCCACCACGCCGUCAAUACACCCGGGGGGUUCUCCAUAUCCUGAAGUCCCCACAGGCCUGUGGGCCUUCUGACAGGAAAAAGAUCAAUGAACUCAGGGCAUUGGCUCCAAUAACGGCCUGGACUA